rnacentral:siRNA from 1 species
AUAACAUUUGGGUACCCACGGGUA